CAGCCUCCAGAAGUUCUGGUGAUCCAGCUCAACCGUUUUGAAAAUUUGGGCAGUUAUACUUCCAAGAUUCAAGAGAUGGUGAAAUAUCAGUUAGAGUUGGAUUUAAAACCCUUCAUGAGCUCUGUGGAUACUAGCCCUCAAAAGUAUGAUCUGUAUGGAAUUGUAGAAUACUUGGGUAAUUCAUCCAAGGGUCACUAUGUUUGUUACAUCCGUUCGUCAGAAACAGAUUGACAUCUCUUCAGUGAUGAUAAGACACAGUUUUGGACAGUAAAGCAUAUCUUCUGUUAUAUGUCAUCGUGGUUCUCUACCUUACUCGAGGAAAAGAACACUUUGUUGUUGGGUUAUUUGCAAGAAUUGGCACAAAAAGGUUUGAAUGAGGAUGGUGUUUCCAUUGAAAGUGACAAGGAUAGUUACAGCG